rnacentral:tRNA from 1 species
CAGAUUGUAGCUUAUAUAAAGUUUAUUUUUUACAUUAAUAUGAAAAUUUUAAAUUCUUUCUGA